rfam:Hymenolepis nana genome assembly, scaffold: HNAJ_scaffold0000846
CCCGCUGAACUUAAGCAUAUCAAUAAGCGGAGGAAAAGAAACUAACCAGGAUUCCCUUGGUAACGGCGAGUGAAGAGGGAGGAGCCCAGCACCGAAGCCUGCGGCAGUUUUGCUGCUAGGCAAUGUGGUGUGUGUGGGUCGGCUCGUGGGACCAUCACUCCACUCAAAGUCCAGCAUUGAGUAUGGCUUCACUGGAUUUGGCUCAUAGAGGGUGAGAGGCCCGUACGGGUGGAGGUUCAGACAUGUGCGAUGGCUCACCAGGCCGGCCUCAGAGUCGGGUUGUUUGAGAUUGCAGCCCAAAGAGGGUGGUAAAAUCCAUCCAAGACUAAAUACUGCCACGAGUCCGAUAGCNNNN